CUUAACGGUAAAAGUGCCUUCGAAACUGGAUUUCUUGAGUUCGGAAGAGGUUGGUGGAAUUCGUGGUGUAGCGGUGAAAUGCAUAGAUAUCACGAAGAACACCGGUGGCGAAGGCGGCCAACUGGUCCGAUACUGACGCUGAGACACGAAAGCGUGGGGAGCGAACAGGGUUAGAUACCCUGGUAGUCCACGCUGUAAACGAUGCAUGCUAGUUGUUGUCCCUUCGGGGGCAGUGACGCAGUUAACGCAGUAAGCAUGCCACCUGGGGAGUACGUUCGCAAGAAUGAAACUCAAAGGAAUUGACGGGGGCCCGCACAAGCGGUGGAGCAUGUGGCUUAAUUCGAUGCAACGCGAAGAACCUUACCUAGGCUAAAUCUGCGGGGACCGCUCCUGAAAGGGAGCUUCCCUUCGGGGCCGCGC
rnacentral:rRNA from 1 species